GGUUAAGUUAGAAAGGGCGCACGGUGGAUGCCUUGACACUAGGAGUCGAUGAAGGACGGGACUAACGCCGAUAUGCUUCGGGGAGCUGUAAGUAAGCUUUGAUCCGAAGAUUUCCGAAUGGGGAAACCCACCAUACGUAAUGGUAUGGUAUCCUUAUCUGAAUACAUAGGGUAAGGAAGACAGACCCAGGGAACUGAAACAUCUAAGUACCUGGAGGAAGAGAAAGCAAAUGCGAUUUCCUGAGUAGCGGCGAGCGAAACGGAACAUAGCCCAAACCAAGAGGCUUGCCUCUUGGGGUUGUAGGACAUUCUAUACGGAGUUACAAAGGAACGAGGUAGACGAAGCGACCUGGAAAGGUCCGUCGUAGAGGGUAACAACCCCGUAGUCGAAACUUCGUUCUCUCUUGAAUGUAUCCUGAGUACGGCGGAACACGUGAAAUUCCGUCGGAAUCUGGGAGGACCAUCUCCCAAGGCUAAAUACUCCCUAGUGAUCGAUAGUGAACCAGUACCGUGAGGGAAAGGUGAAAAGCACCCCGGAAGGGGAGUGAAAGAGAUCCUGAAACCGUGUGCCUACAAAUAGUCAGAGCCCGUUAACGGGUGAUGGCGUGCCUUUUGUAGAAUGAACCGGCGAGUUACGAUCCCGUGCGAGGUUAAGCUGAAGAGGCGGAGCCGCAGCGAAAGCGAGUCUGAAUAGGGCGUUUAGUACGUGGUCGUAGACCCGAAACCAGGUGAUCUACCCAUGUCCAGGGUGAAGUUCAGGUAACACUGAAUGGAGGCCCGAACCCACGCACGUUGAAAAGUGCGGGGAUGAGGUGUGGGUAGCGGAGAAAUUCCAAUCGAACCUGGAGAUAGCUGGUUCUCCCCGAAAUAGCUUUAGGGCUAGCCUUAAGUGUAAGAGUCUUGGAGGUAGAGCACUGAUUGGACUAGGGGUCCUCAUCGGAUUACCGAAUUCAGUCAAACUCCGAAUGCCAAUGACUUAUCCUUAGGAGUCAGACUGCGAGUGAUAAGAUCCGUAGUCAAAAGGGAAACAGCCCAGACCGCCAGCUAAGGUCCCAAAGUGUGUAUUAAGUGGAAAAGGAUGUGGAGUUGCUUAGACAACUAGGAUGUUGGCUUAGAAGCAGCCACCAUUUAAAGAGUGCGUAAUAGCUCACUAGUCGAGUGACUCUGCGCCGAAAAUGUACCGGGGCUAAAUACACCACCGAAGCUGCGGAUUGAUACCAAUGGUAUCAGUGGUAGGGGAGCGUUCUAAGGACAGUGAAGUCAGACCGGAAGGACUGGUGGAGUGCUUAGAAGUGAGAAUGCCGGUAUGAGUAGCGAAAGACGGGUGAGAAUCCCGUCCACCGAAUGCCUAAGGUUUCCUGAGGAAGGCUCGUCCGCUCAGGGUUAGUCAGGACCUAAGCCGAGGCCGACAGGCGUAGGCGAUGGACAACAGGUUGAUAUUCCUGUACCACCUCUUUAUCGUUUGAGCAAUGGAGGGACGCAGAAGGAUAGAAGAAGCGUGCGAUUGGUUGUGCACGUCCAAGCAGUUAGGCUGAUAAGUAGGCAAAUCCGCUUAUCGUGAAGGCUGAGCUGUGAUGGGGAAGCUCCUUAUGGAGCGAAGUCUUUGAUUCCCCGCUGCCAAGAAAAGCUUCUAGCGAGAUAAAAGGUGCCUGUACCGCAAACCGACACAGGUAGGCGAGGAGAGAAUCCUAAGGUGUGCGAGAGAACUCUGGUUAAGGAACUCGGCAAAAUGACCCCGUAACUUCGGGAGAAGGGGUGCUUUCUUAACGGAAAGCCGCAGUGAAUAGGCCCAAGCGACUGUUUAGCAAAAACACAGCUCUCUGCGAAGCCGUAAGGCGAAGUAUAGGGGGUGACACCUGCCCGGUGCUGGAAGGUUAAGGAGAGGGGUUAGCGUAAGCGAAGCUCUGAACUGAAGCCCCAGUAAACGGCGGCCGUAACUAUAACGGUCCUAAGGUAGCGAAAUUCCUUGUCGGGUAAGUUCCGACCCGCACGAAAGGUGUAACGAUUUGGGCACUGUCUCAACCAGAGACUCGGUGAAAUUAUAGUACCUGUGAAGAUGCAGGUUACCCGCGACAGGACGGAAAGACCCCGUGGAGCUUUACUGUAGCCUGAUAUUGAAUUUUGGUACAGUUUGUACAGGAUAGGCGGGAGCCUUUGAAACCGGAGCGCUAGCUUCGGUGGAGGCGCUGGUGGGAUACCGCCCUGACUGUAUUGAAAUUCUAACCUACGGGUCUUAUCGACCCGGGAGACAGUGUCAGGUGGGCAGUUUGACUGGGGCGGUCGCCUCCUAAAGUGUAACGGAGGCGCCCAAAGGUUCCCUCAGAAUGGUUGGAAAUCAUUCGUAGAGUGCAAAGGCAUAAGGGAGCUUGACUGCGAGACCUACAAGUCGAGCAGGGACGAAAGUCGGGCUUAGUGAUCCGGUGGUUCCGCAUGGAAGGGCCAUCGCUCAACGGAUAAAAGCUACCCCGGGGAUAACAGGCUUAUCUCCCCAAGAGUCCACAUCGACGGGGAGGUUUGGCACCUCGAUGUCGGCUCAUCGCAUCCUGGGGCUGUAGUCGGUCCCAAGGGUUGGGCUGUUCGCCCAUUAAAGCGGUACGCGAGCUGGGUUCAGAACGUCGUGAGACAGUUCGGUCCCUAUCCGUCGUGGGCGUAGGAAAUUUGAGAGGAGCUGUCCUUAGUACGAGAGGACCGGGAUGGACGCACCGCUGGUGUACCAGUUGUUCUGCCAAGGGCAUAGCUGGGUAGCUAUGUGCGGAAGGGAUAAGUGCUGAAAGCAUCUAAGCAUGAAGCCCCCCUCAAGAUGAGAUUUCCCAUAGCGUAAGCUAGUAAGAUCCCUGAAAGAUGAUCAGGUUGAUAGGUUCGAGGUGGAAGCAUGGUGACAUGUGGAGCUGACGAAUACUAAUAGAUCGAGGACUUAACCAU
rnacentral:rRNA from 1 species